rfam:Capsicum annuum cultivar Zunla-1 chromosome 10, whole genome shotgun sequence
AUAUUAUGGUUAGGACACUGCGUCAGCUUCUUUUUGAAUCUCUCUUAGGUUUCAUGCAAGGCUUCAGUUACAAGCUGUCUGAAGUUAUUGAUCUCAUCCCUUAAUUG